rnacentral:lncRNA from 1 species
AGGAGGUAUAGGUCAGGCCUAUUGCGCUACCCCAGGUCUAUGUCCUCAUCAGGUUCCCAUCUUUAUUUUUUAUUUUUUAAACUUUAUAAAAGCACACAACAGAAAUAAAUGACUCUGUAAAACUUCCGGGUUGUCUCCGUGGCAGCGCUUUCUUUAAAGCCAUUAAGCUAGGCAUAUAGUGCUCAAGUAAUAGAUCCACCCGGAUCCCAAGGUAUAUCAAAGACAAUUUUAAUUAACAAUGAUUUGUAAUUUAGUAGUGAGCACAGAGCAACAUAUAUCAUGCAACAACGAAGUCUAACUCUCUUCCUAUGCAUCGGCAUGUCAUAAAAGAACAAUUCAUGCACGCAGAGUAAAGGCUAAUGCAUAGUAUAAGCAGUUUCUUGCAAUUCUAUCGUGUUGGAAAUAUAGAGAGGUGGAGAUAUAGUUCCUCUCUCAUAGUAACUGCAAGUAGGAGCAGCAAGCACAUGCAUAUUAUAUCUAUCAAAAUCAUCAUGUGCAACGGUAAAAGGCAACCCAUCAAUAUAAUCGUUAAUAAGUGCAAACUUCUCCGAUAUAGUGUAGUUGGGAGAAUUCAAAAAGAUAAUAGGACUAUCAUGCGUGGGUGCAAUAGCAACAAUUUCAUGUCUAACAUAAGGAACUAUAGCAAGUUCAUCUCCAUAAGCAUAAUUCAUAUUGGCAUCUUGGCCACAAGCAUAGCAAGCAUCAUCAAAAAGCGGUAUUUCAAGAGAAUCAACGGGAUCAUAACAAUCAUCAUAGCAAUCAUCCUUCGGUAAGCACGAAGGGAAAUUAAACAAUGUAUGAGUUGAAGAGUUACUCUCAUUAGAAGGUGGGCACGGGUAGCUGAUCCACUCUUCCUCCUUUUGUUCUUCGCUCUCCUCAUCAUCUUUUUCAUCCAAUGAGCUCACAGUUUCAUCCAUUUCUUCUUCCAUAGACUCCUGCAAAAUAUUAAUCUCUUCUUGGACAGCGGAGGAGUCCUCAGUAUAUGGUUUAACAUAGGCAUUAGAAGCAUAAUUAUCAUAACAAUAUUUAAGUAUGGCAAAAUUUUCAGAUUUGUAAAGAGUAGCACCAUACUUUCCAAUCAAAGAAGCAAUUUCAUAAGCACCCUUAAAAGCAACAAAUUCUUCAAUUUGUUGAACAUCAUAGUAAUUAUAAACACCCUUAGCAUAUGAAGAUACGAUUCCAUUAUCACUAAACAAACAUUGGUAGGGAAGGUGUUUCUUAGGGUCUUCAGAACAACAAGUAAUAUCAUAUAUCUCACAUAAAUUCCAGGCAUAGCAUUGCAAACGAUGAAUUUGAUCCAGUAAAAGUUUCCCUUUUUUAGAUAUGCGGUGUAGCACAUAACAAGCAUGCUCAUCUAAAGAUUUGCCCUCAACUAAGCUAGUUGGGGUUUCAGCACGAGCACAUAGGGAUCGAAGAUGAUCCAAGUAAAAAAGCUUCAGGAGUGUGAUAGAUUUGAGUGGUUCUUCAACCAUUGGUUCAGUAGGUACAACUAUUUUUUUUGGUAUUUUGCGUUUCCUACCCAUAACUAAAGAUAGAAAACAACUAAGAACAGCAAAUAAAAAUUACUUAGUGAUAAAGCAAACAAGCACACACGAGAAUAUUCACCCCACGCUAUGACUCCCCGGCAACGGCACCAGAAAAAGGUCUUGAUAACCCACAAGUAUAGGGGGUCAAUUGUAGCCUCUUUCGAUAAGUAAGAGUGUUGAACCCAACGAGGAGCUAAAGGUAGAACAAAUAUUCCCUCAAGUUCUAUCGACCACCGAUACAACUCUACGCACGCUUAACGUUCGCUUUACCUAGAACAAGUAUGAAACUAGAAGUACUUUGUGGGUGUUUUUGGAUAGGUUUGCAAGAAUACAAAGAGCACGUAAAUAAAAAGUUGGGGCUGUUUAGAUAAAGACACAAUAAAGUAAAUAUAGCGAGUGUGGAAAAGUGGUGGUAGGAGUUGCGAAAUUGUCCCUUAAGCAAUUGACUACUUUACUAGACCGAUAGCAAGUUUUAUGUGGGAGAGGCCACUGCUAGCAUGUCAUCCCUGACUUGGAAUUCUAUGCACUUAUGAUUGGAACUAUUAGCAAGCGUCCGCAACCACUAACAUUCAUUAAGGUAAAACCCAACCAUAGCAUUAAGAUAUAUUGGUCCCCCUUCAAUCCCGUAUGCAUCAAUUUCUAUGCUAGGUUGAAGCUUCUGUCACUCUUGCCCUCCAAUACAUAGUCCUAUCAACAUACAACUAACCCUAUGGUGUGAUCCACGCGUGCGCUCAUAUGAUGGGCACCAAAGGACAGCAACAUAACCACAAGCAAAUUAAAUCAAUCAUAGCAAUUCAUCAACCACCGAUAGGACAACGAAAAUCUACUCAGACAUCAUAGGAUGGCAACACAUCAUUGGAUAAUAAUAUGAAGCAUAAAGCACCAUGUUCAAGUAGAGGGUACAGCGGGUUGCGGGAGAGUGGACCGCUGUAGAUAGAGGGGAGAAGGUGAUGGAGAUGUUGGCGAAGAUGGCGGAGGUGUUGGUGAAGAUCGCGGUGAUGAUGAUGGUGGCCACGACAGCGUUCCGGCACCACCGGAAGAGAGGGGGAGAGGGGCCCCCUUCUUCUUCUUCUUCUUCCUUGACCUCCUCCCUAGAUGGGAGAAGGGUUUCCCCUCUAGUCCUUGGCCGCCAUGGCAUGGGAGGGGCGAGAGCCCCUCCGAGAUUGGAUUUGUCUCUCUGUCUCUCUCUGUUUCUGCGCUCCUCUCUUCUGCCCUUUCACCGUUUCGUAUAUAUAUGGAGAUCCGUAACUCCGAUUGGAUUGAAACCUUCGCCCAGAUUUUUCUCCUAAAAUUAGCUUCCUUGUGGCCAAAGGAGAGCAGCAACCGCCUUACAGGUGGCCCACGAGGGGGGCAGGCGCGCCCCCUGCCUCGUGGCCACCUCGGGCACCGUCUCGCGUUGAUUCUUCUUCCCAUAUUCUCCAAAUAUUCCAAAAAUAUUCUCCGUCCGUUUUUAUCCUGUUUGGAUUUCGUUUGAUAUAGGGUUUCUGCAAAAUAUAAAACAUGCAACAAACAGGAACUGGCACUAGGCACUGGAUCAAUAUGUUAGUCCCAAAAAUAGUAUAAAAAGUUGCCAAAAAGUAUAUGAAAGUUGUAUAGUAUUGGCAUGGAACAAACAAAAAUUAUAGAUACGACGGAGAUGUGUCAAUGUGCAAUGAUCUAGCGUAACAUGUAUGAAAAAUGAUGCACGGUGGCUGAGCCACAACUACUAUGUCAGCUACAUGAUCAUGCAAAGCUAUAUGACAAUGAAUGCUCAAGUCAUCAAACGGAAGCGGUGGAAGUUGCAUGGCAAUAUAUCUCGGAAUGGCCAUGGAAAAGCCAUAAUAGGUAGGUAUGGUGGCAGUUUUGAGGAAGAUAUAAUAAGGCUUAUGUGUGAUAGAGCGUAUCAUAUCACGGGGUUUGGAUGCACCUGCGAAGUUUGCACCACGUCUCGAUGUGUGAAAGGGAAAUGCACGGUACCGUAGAGGCUAGCAAAUUGCGAAAAGGUAAGAGUGCGUAUAAUCCAUGGACUCACAUUAGUCAUAAAGAACUCAUAUACUUAUUGCAAAAGUUUAUUAGCCCUUGAGGCAAAGUACUACUACGCAUGCCCCUAGGGGGAUAGAUUGGUAGGAAAAGACCAUCGCUCGUCCCCGACCGCCACUCAUAAGGAAGACAAUCAAUAAUAAAUCAUGCUCCAACAUCAUAGCAUAACGAGAGACUAUAUGUGCAUGCUUCGGGAAUCACAAACCUUAACACCAUUAUUCUUACUAACCACAACCGUUUACUAGUACCUCCCACAUAUUAUCAUCUCUAUAUCGCAAAACUAUUGCAAGGAAUCAAACAUAUCAUAUUCAGUGAUCCAUAAGUUUUAUGUAGGAUUCAUAACUAACCAUGCAAUUGACCAAUUCCUGUUGACUCUCUAAAUAGAUCUAAGUGAAGCAUGAGAGUUUAAUUCUUUCUACAAAAGAUCAUGCUCUAAUAAAUAUAAGUGAAGCAAAAGAGCAUUCUUCAAACAACGGUUUUCUAUGUGAAGAGAAACAGGCAAUCCAAACUUCAAAUGAUAUAAGUGAAGCACAUGAAGCAUUCUACAAGGCCAUACUCAAAAGAUAUAAGUGAAGUGCAAUGAGCCUUCUAUAAAUCAACCAUGGACUAUCUCAUACCAGCAUGGUGCAUAAAAGAAAAAUGAAAACUAAAAGCAAAAGACGCUCCAAGAUUUGCACAUAUCGCAUGAACGAAACGAAUCCGAAAACAUACCGAUACUUGUUGAAGAAAGAUGGGAUGCCUUCCGGGGCAUCCCCGAGCUUAGACGCUUGAGUCUCCUUGAAUAUUUACUUGGGUUGCCUUGGGCAUCCCCAAGCUUGAGCUCUUGCCUCUCCUCCUUCUCCUCACAUCGAGACCUCCUCGAUCUUCGAACACUUCAUCCACACAAAAUUCAACAGAAAGUUCGGUAAGAUCCGUUAGUAUAAUAAAGCAAAUCACUACUCUAAGUACUGUUGCAAACCAAUUCAUAUUUUUUUUGCAUUGUAGCUACUGUAAUAUAACUUUUCCAUGGCUUAAUCCACUAAUAGAAUCGAUAGUUUCAUCAAAACAAGCAAAACAAUGCAUCAAAAACAGAAUCUGUCUUAAACAGGACAGUCUGUAGUAAUCUGAACAUUCACCAUACCUCUGGUACUCCAAAAAUUCUGAAAAAGAUAGGGAAAAUAAACAAUUUGUAUAGAAAGACAGUGCAAAAUGCUUCAGAACUGUUUCACGUUCCAGUAAAAAAAUGUAAAAUCGCGCACUACAGCCAAAGUUUAUGUUUUGCACCGCACAAACCAACAAGCAAUCUAAACAUCCUAAAGGAAAACCUUGGCACAUUAUUUUUAUAAUACAAUGGAAUUGUACAAGGGGAUAAUUAUUUUUGUGAGAAUUUUCAUGAAAAAUUCUACUUUGUUUCCAUGAGCAUGAACACAAGUGUUCAAGGUCGACCCUCACUUCUCCAAUGCAUAACUUCCAAUCGCUUCUCUUUUGUGAAAAAGUUUUAAGUUCCCCUCUAUAUUUUUUUGUUUUUAAACUUUAUAAAAGCACUCAACAGAAAUAAAUGACUCCCUAAAACUUCCGGUUGUCUCCCUGGCAGCGCUUUCUUUAAAGCCAUUAAGCUAGGCAUAAAGUGCUCAAGUAAUGGAUCCACCCGGAUCCCAAGGUAUAUCAAAGCCAAUUUUAAUUAACAAUGAUUUGGCAUUUAGUAGUGAGCACAAAGCAACAUAUAUCAAGUAAUAACGAAGUCUAACUCUCUUCCUAUGCAUCGGCAUGUCAUACAAGAACAAUUCAUGCACAUCAAGUAAAGGCCAAUGCAUAGUAUAAGCAACUUCUUGCAAUUCUAUCGUGUUGGAAGCAUAAAGAGGCGGAGAUGUAGUUCCUCUCUCUCAUAAUAAUUGCAAGUAGAAGUAGCGAGCACAUGCAUAUUAUAUUCAUCAAAAUUAUCAUGUGAAACGGUAAAAGGCAACCCAUCCAUGUAGUCCUUAAUAAGUGCAAACUUCUCCGAUAUAGUGUAGUUUGGAGAAUUCAAAAGGAUAAUAGGACUAUCAUGUGUGGGUGCAAUAUCAACAAUUUUAUUCUUAACAUAAGGAACUAUGGCAAGUUCAUCUCCAUAAGCAUAAUUCAUAUUGGCAUCAUGGCCUGAUACGUCUCCAACGUAUCUAUAAUUUUUUAUUGUUCCAUGCUAUUAUAUUAUCUGUUUUGGAUGUUUAAUGGACUUUAAUAUGCUCUUUUAUAUUAUUUUUGGGACUAACCUAUUAACCGGAGGCCCAGUGCCAGUUUCUGUUUUUUUGCCUAUUUUAGAGUUUCGCAAAAAAGGAAUACCAAACGGAAUGAAACCUUCGCGAGGAUCUUUCUUGGACCGAAAGCAAACUAGAAGACUUGGAGAUGAAGUCGGAGACACAACGAGGCGGCCAUGAGGCAGGAGGGUGCGCCCAGGGGGUAGGCGUGCCCCCACCCUCAUGGGCCCCUCGUAGCUCCACCGACGUACUUCUUUCGCCUAUAUAUACUCUUAUACCCUAGAUCGAUCAGAGAGAGCCACGAAACCACUUUUCCACCGCCGCAAGCUUCUGUACCCGUGAGAUACCAUCUUGGGGCCUUUUCCGGCGAUCUGCCGGAGGGGGAAUCGAUCACAGAGGGCUUCUACAUCAGCACCAUAGCCUCUCCGAUGAAGCGUGAGUAGUUUACCACAGACCUUCGGGUCCAUAGUUAUUAGCUAGAUGGCUUCUUCUCUCUCUUUGAUUCUCAAUACAAAGUUCUCCUUGAUGUUCUUGGAGAUCUAUUCGAUGUAAUACUCUUUUGCGGUGUGUUUGCCGACAUCCGAUGAAUUGUGUAUUUAUGAACUUGAUUAUCUAUGAAUAUUAUUUGGUUCUUCUCUGAAUUCUUAUAUGCAUGAUUUGAUAUCUUUGCAAGUCUCUUCGAAUUAUCGGUUUAGUUUGGCCUACUAUAUUGAUCUUUCUUGCAAUGGGAGAAGUGCUUAGCUUUGGGUUCAAUCUUGCGGUGUCCUUUCCCAGUGACAGUAGGGGCAGCAAGGCACGUAUUGUAUCAUUGCCAUCGAGGAUAGGAAGAUGGGGUUUAUAUCAUAUUACUUGAGUUUAUCCCUCUACAUCAUGUCAUCUUGCUUAAAGCGUUACUCUGUUCUUAUGAACUUAAUAUUCUAGAUGCAUGCUGGAUAGCGGUCGAUGUGUGGAGUAAUAGUAUUAGAUGCAGAAUCGUUUCGAUCUACUUGACACGGACGUGAUGCCUAUAUUCAUGAUCAUUGUCUUAGAUAUCUUCAUAACUAUGCGUUUUUCUAUCAAUUGCUCGGCAGUAAUUUGUUCACCCACCGUAAUACAUGCUAUCUUGAGAGAAGCCAGUAGUGAAACCUAUGGCCCCCGGGUCUCUUUCUUAUUAUAUUGCAUCUCUUUUAUUUACAUCGCAUCUCAUUUACUAUUUUGCAAUCUUUACUUUACAAUCUAUACAACAAAAAUACAAAAAAUAUUUACUUUACUAUCUUUAUUAGAUCUCACUUUUGCGAGUGACCGUGAAGGAAUUGACAACCCCUUUAUCGCGUUGGUUGCAAGGUUCUUGAUUGUUUGUGCAGGUACUAGGUGACUUAUGCGUUGUCUCCUACUGGAUUGAUACCUUGGUUCUCAAAAACUGAGGGAAAUACUUACGCUACUUUGCUGCAUCACCCUUUCCUCUUCAAGGGAAAACCAACGCAUGCUCAAGAGGUACCAAGAAGGAUUUCUGGCGCCGUUGCGGGGAGAUCUACGCCAAGUCAAGACAUACCAAGUACCCAUCAUAAACUCUUCUCCCUCGCAUUACAUUAUUUUCCAUUCGCCUCUCGUUUUCCUCUCCCCCACUUCUAAACCGAUUUUCAAAAACCUUUGCCUUCUCUUCGUCCCUUUUCCGUUCGUCUCUUUUUGCUUGCUUCUUGUGUGCUUGUGUGUUGGAUUGAUCGUUUGUCACGAUGGAUCAAGAUAAUACUAAAUUGUGUGACUUUUCGAAUACCAACAACAAUGAUUUUAUUAGCACUCCGAUUCCUCCUACUACCGAUGCUGAAUCUUGUGAAAUUAAUACCGCUUUGUUGAAUCUUGUUAUGAAAGAUCAAUUUUUUGGCCUUCCCAGUGAAGAUGCCGCUACCCAUCUAAACAACUUUGUUGAUUUGUGUGAUAUACAAAAGAAGAAACAUGUGGAUAAUUAUAUUGUUAAAUUGAAGCUAUUUCCGUUUUUGCUUAGAGAUCGUGCUAAAAUUGGUUCUCUUCUUUGCCUAAAAAUAGUAUUGAUUCAUGGAAUAAGUGCAAAGAUGCUUUUAUCUCGUAAGUAUUUUCCUCCCGCUAAGGUCAUCUCUCUUAGGAACGAUAUUAUGAAUUUUAAGCAACUUGAUCAUGAGCAUGUUGCACAAGCUUGGGGGAGGAUGAAAUUAAUGAUACGUAAUUGCCCUACACAUGGUUUGAAUUUGUGGAUGAUUAUACAAAAAAAAUUAUGCCGGAUUGAAUUUUGCUUCUAGAAAUCUUUUAGAUUCGGCCGCGGGAGGCAUUUUUAUGGAAAUCACUUUAGGAGAAGCUACUAAACUCCUAGAAAAAAUUAUGGUUAAUUAUUCUCAAUGGCACGCCGAUAGAUCCACGAGUAAAAAGGUUCAUGCGAUGGAAGAGAUUAAUGUUUUGAGUGGAAAGAUGGAUGAAUUUUUGAAAUUGCUUGCUAAUAAAAGUGUUUCUUCUGAUCCUAAUGAUAUGCCUUUGUCCACUUUGAUUGAGAAUAAUAGUGAAUCUAUGGAUGUGAAUUUUGUUGGUAGGAACAAUUUUGGUAACAACGCGUAUAGAGGAAACUUUAAUUCUAGGCCGUUUCCUAGUAAUUCCUCUAAUAAUUAUGGUAAUUCCUACAACAACUCUUAUGGAAAUUUUAAUAAGAUGCCCUCUGAUUUUGAGACUAGUGUUAAAGAAUUUAUAAGUUCGCCAAAGAAUUUCAAUGCUUUGGUUGAAGAAAAUUUGCUUAAGAUUGAUGAGUUGGCUAGGAACGUGGAUAGAACUUCUAUUGAUGUUGAUUCUUUGAAACUUAGAUCUAUUCCACCUAGGCAUGACAUCAAUGAGUCUCUCGAAGCCAUGCGAAUUUCCAUUGAUGAGUGCAAAGAAAGAACCGCUAGGAUGCGUGCUAAAAAAGAUUGCUUUGUGAAAGUGUGUUCUUCUAGUUUUCAUGAUAAUAAUGAUGAAGAUCUAAAAGUGAUUGAUGUGACUCCUAUUAAAUAUUUGUUUUCCAAGAUGAAUCUUGAUAAAUAUGGGACUGGAGAUGAGUCAACUUUAGUUAAAAGGCGUCCCAAUGAUUCGGAGUUUUUAGAUCUUGAUGCAAAAAUUGAUAAAAGUGGGAUUGAAGAGGUCAAAACUUUACAUAGCAAUGAACCCACUAUUUUGGAUUUCAAGGAAUUUAAUUAUGAUAAUUGCUCUUUGAUAGAUUGUAUUUCCUUGUUGCAAUCCGUGUUAAAUUCUCCUCAUGCUUAUAAUCAAAAUAAAGCUUUUACUAAACAUAUCGUUGAUGCUUUAAUGCAAUCCUAUGAAGAAAAGCUUGAACUAGAAGUUUCUAUCCCUAGAAAACUUUAUGAUGAGUGGGAACCUACUAUUAAAAUUAAGAUUAAAUAUUAUGAAUGCUAUGUUUUGUGUGAUUUGGGUGCUAGUGUUUCCACGAUUCCAAAAACUUUGUGUGAUGUGCUAGGUUUCUGUGAAUUUGAUGAUUGUUCUUUAAAUUUGCAUCUUGCGGAUUCCACCAUUAAGAAACCUAUAGGAAGGAUCAAUGAUGUUCUUAUUGUUGCAAAUAGGAAUUAUGUGCCCGUAGAUUUCAUUGUUCUUGAUAUAGAUUGCAAUCCGACAUGUCCUAUUAUUCUUGGUAGACCUUUCCUUAGAAUGAUUCGUGCAAUUAUUGACAUGAAAGAAGGAAAUAUUAGAUUCCAAUUUCCGUUAAGGAAAGGCAUGGAACACUUUCCUAGGAAGAAAAUUAAAUUACCUUAUGAAUCUAUUAUGAGAGCCACUUAUGGAUUGCAUACCAAAGAUGACAAUACCUAGAUCUAUUCUUGCUUUUAUGCCUAGUUAGGGGCGUUAAACGAUAGCGCUUGUUGGGAGGCAACCCAAUUUUAUUUUUGUUCUUUACUUUUUGUUCCUGUUUAGUAAUAAAUAAUUCAUCUAGCCUCUGUUCUGAUUGUGUUUUUUAUGUUUUAGUUAGUGUUUGUGCCAAGUAAAGCCUUUAGGAUCUUCUUGGGUGAUUGUUGUUUGAUCUUGCUGAUAAAAACAGAAAGUAUGCGCUCACGAAAAUAAUUAAAAUUUUAUAACAGAGAGCGCUAAAAUACCAAUUCCAACUGCAGUAGAUCAAUAUACUUUUUAUCCUGGUCGUCCUAAUUUUUCAGAAUUUUUGGAGUUACCGAAGUAUUCGAAACAUCCAGAUUGCUACAGACUGUUCUGUUUUUGACAGAUUCUGUUUUUCGUGUGUUGUUUGCUUAUUUUGAUGAAUAUAUGGCUAGUAUCGGGGGGUAUGAACCAUAGAGAAGUUGGAAUAUAGUAAGUUUAACACCAAUAUAAAUAAAUAAUGAGUUCAUUACAGUACCUUAAAGUGCUGGUUUAUUUUCUUAUACUAACGGAGCUCAUGAGAUUUUUUGUUGAAGUUUUGUGUUGUGAAGUUUUCAAGUUUUUGGGUAAAGAUUUGAUUAAUUUUGGAAUAAGGAUGGCAAGAGCCUAAGCUUGGGGAUGCCCGAGGCACCCCAAGGUAAAAUUCAAGGACAACCAAAAGCCUAAGCUUGGGGAUGCCCCGGAAGGCAUCCCCUCUUUCGUCUUCGUCUAUCGGUAACUUUACUUGAGGCUAUAUUUUUAUUCACCACAUGAUAUGUGUUUUGCUUGGAGCAUCCUAUAUGAUUUGAGUCUUUGAUUUUUAGUUUACCACAAUCAUCCUUGCUGUACACACCUUUUGGGAGAGACACCAAUUAAUCGGAAUUUAUUAGAAUACUCUAUGUGCUUCACUUAUAUCUUUUGAGCUAGAUAAUUUUGCUCUAGUGCUUCACUUAUAUAUUUUUAGAGCAUGGUGGUGGUUUUAUUUUAUAGAAAUUAUUGAUCUAUCAUGCUUCACUUAUAUUAUUUUGAGAGUCUCUUAGAACAGCAUGGUAAUUUUCUUUGGCUAUAAAAUUAGUCCUAAUAUGAUGGGCAUCCAAGAUAGGUAUAAUAAAAACUUUCAUAUAAAGCGCAUUGAAUACUAUGAGAAGUUUGAUUCUUUAUGAUUGUUUUGAGAUAUGAAGAUGGUGAUAUUAGAGUCAUGCUAGUUGAUUAGUUGUGGAUUUGAGAGAUACUUGUGUUAAAGUUUGUGAUUCCCGUAGCAUGCACGUAUGGUGAGCCGUUAUGUGAUGAAGUCGGAGCAUGAUUUAUUUUUUGAUUGUCUUCCUUAUGAGUGGCGGUCGGGGACGAGCGAUGGUCUUUUCCUACCAAUCUAUCCCCCUAGGUGCAUGCGUGUAGUACUUUGUUUCAAUAACUAAUAGACUUUUACAAUAAGUAUGUGAGUUCUUUAUGACUAAUGUUGAGUCCAUGGAUUAUACGCACUCUCACCCUUCCACCAUUGCUAGCCUCUCUAGUACCACGCAACUUUCGCCGGUACCAUAAACCCACCAUUACCUUCCUCAAAACAGCCACCAUACAACCUAUUAUGGCAUUUCCAUAGCCAUUCCGAGAUAUAUUGCCAUGCAACUUUCCACCGUUCCGUUUAUUAUGACACGACUCAUCAUUGUGAUAUUGCUUUGCAUGAUCAUGUAGUUGACAUCGUAUUUGUGGCAAAGCCACCUACAUAAUUCUUUCAUACAUGUCACUCUUGAUUCAUUGCACAUCCCGGUACACCGCCGGAGGCAUUCACAUAGAGUCAUAUUUUGUUCUAAGUAUCGAGUUGUAAAUUCUUGAGUUGUAAGUAAAUAAAGUGUGAUGAUCUUCAUUAUUAGGCAUUGUCCCAGUGAGGAAAGGAUGAAGGAGACCAUGAUUCCCCCACAAGUCGGGAUGAGACUCCAGACGAAAAAUAAAAAAAGAAAAGAAAAAAAGAGGCCAUAAAAAAAGGCCCAAAUAAAAAAAGAGAAAAAGAGAGAAGGGGCAAUGCUACUAUCCUUUUACCACACUUGUGCUUCAAAGUAGCACCAUGAUCUUCAUGGUAAAGAGCCUCCUAUGUUGUCACUUUCAUAUACUAGUGGGAAUUUUUCAUUAUAAAACUUGGCUUGUAUAUUCCAAUGAUGGGCUUCCUCAAAUUGCCCUAGGUCUUCGUGAGCAAGCGAGUUGGAUGCACACCCACUUAGUUUCUUGUUGAGCUUUCAUACACUUAUAGCUCUAGUGCAUCCGUUGCAUGGCAAUCCCUACUCACUCACAUUGAUAUCUAUUGAUGGGCAUCUCCAUAGACCGUUGAUACGCCUAGUUGAUGUGAGACUAUCUUCUCCUUUUUGUCUUCUCCACAACCACCAUUCUAUUCCACCUAUAGUGCUAUGUCCAUGGCUCACGCUCAUAUAUUGCGUGAAGAUUGAAAAAGUUUGAGAACAUCAAAAGUAUGAAACAAUUGCUUGGCUUGUCAUCGGGGUUGUGCAUGAUUUAAAUAUUUUGUCUGAUGAAGAUGGAGCAUAGCCAGACUAUAUGAUUUUGUACGGAUAGCUUUCUUUGGCCAUGCUAUUUUGAGAAGACAUGAUUGCUUUAUUAGUAUACUUGAAGUAUUAUUGUUUUUAUGUCAAUAUUAAACCUUUGUUUUGAAUCAUUCGGAUCUGAACAUUCAUGCCACAAUAAAGAAAAUUGCAUUGAUAAAUAUGUUAGGUAGCAUUCCACAUCCAAAAUUCUGUUUUUAUCAUUUACCUACUCGAGGACGAGCAUGAAUUAAGCUUGGGGAUGCUUGAUACGUCUCCAACGUAUCUAUAAUUUUUGAUUGUUCCAUGCUAUUAUAUUAUCUGUUUUGGAUGUUUAAUGGACUUUAAUACGCUCUUCUAUAUUAUUUUUGGGACUAACCUAUUAACUGGAGGCCUAGUGCCAGUUUCUGUUUUUUGCCUAUUUUAGAGUUUCGCAGAAAAGGAAUACCAAACGGAGUCCAAACGGAAUGAAACCUUCGGGAGGAUCUUUCUUGGACCGAAAGCAAACUAGAAGACUUGAAGAUGAAGUCGGAGACGCAAAGAGGCGGCCACGAGGCAGGAGGGCGCGCCCCCCACCCUCGUGGGCUCCUCGUAGCUCCACCGACGUACUUCUUUCGCCUAUAUAUACUCUUAUACCCUAGAUCGAUCAAAGAGAGCCACGAAACCACUUUUCCACCGCCACAACCUUCUGUACCCGUGAGAUCCCAUCUUGGGGCCUUUUCCGACGAUCUGCCGGAGGGGGAAUCGAUCACGGAGGGCUUCUACAUCAACACCGUAGCCUCUGUGAUGAAGCGUGAGUAGUUUACCACACACCUUUGGGUCCAUAGUUAUUAGCUAGAUGGCUUCUUCUCUCUCUUUGAUUCUCAAUACAAAGUUCUCCUCGAUGUUCUUGGAGAUCUAUUCGAUGUAAUACUCCUUUGCGGUGUGUUUGCCGAGAUUCGAUAAAUUGUGGAUUUAUGAACUUGAUUAUCUAUGAAUAUUAUUUGGUUCUUCUCUGAAUUCUUAUAUACAUGAUUUGAUAUCUUUGCAAGUCUCUUCGAAUUAUCGGUUUAGUUUCGCCUACUAGGUUGAUCUUUCUUACAAUGGGAGAAGUGCUUAGCUUUGGGUUCAAUCUUGUGGUGUCCUUUCCCAGUGACAGUAGGGGCAGCAAGGCAUGUAUUGUAUUGUUGCCAUCGAGGAUAAAAAAUGGGGUUUAUAUCAUAUUGCUUGAGUUUAUCCCUCUACAUCAUGUCAUCUUGCUUAAAGCGUUACUCUGUUCUUAUGAACUUAAUACUCUAGAUGCAUGCUGGAUAGCGGUCGAUGUGUGGAGUAAUAGUAGUAGAUGCAGAAUCGUUUCGAUCUACUUGACACGAACGUGAUGCCUAUAUUCAUGAUCAUUGCCUUAGAUAUCUUCAUAACUAUGCGCUUUUCUAUCAAUUGCUCGGGAGUAAUUUAUUCACCCACCGUAAUACAUGCUAUCUUGAGAGAAGCCACUAGUGAAACCUAUGGCCCCCGGGUCUCUUUCUUAUUAGGGUUUUUUACAUCUGUGCCCCUGGUUCCUUAGCUCUACUCAUUCAUCCCCGCGCUCUUAACUUUUGCUCAAUUUUCCCCACUCCCUUGCCAGAAACCCUCAUAACUAGGCACAACGGACGUUGCCGUCGGGUCAAAGGCUUGACCGUUAACUCUGACUAGUGGGGCCAUGCUGGACUGUGUCGUCUGUUCGAGCUGACAAGUGGGGCCGCGUUGGGUGGUUUCGCUGUUGGACCGUUGGGCCAUGGUUUCAUUGGGUCGUCCCUUGCAUUAAACGUCUGCGCGCGCCGCCAGGACAGAAGCCUGCUAUGCAUGCACCCAGCAAAUCCUGCCUGCAUGCGUCGAUCGAGCCUGCAUGCGCCGAUGCCACGAUCCCACGAUGCGCCGACCGAGCCUGCAUGCGCCGAUGCGUCCGCCACGAUGCACUGACCGAGCAGCUUUCUUGGACGCCAGCCGCCACGGAUGCAGCAACGGUCACUGCUGCUGGUUCCUCUCUUCUAGCUAGGUGGCUACAUAUUUGUGGCUUGUGUAAAAAAAGAGCCACUCCCUUGCUUAGUUGUACUCAUUCAUCCCUACUAACAAAGCUUGCUUGCAUGCACUAGGUGGUUACUAACAAGCCGAGCUCUUUAAGAAAAUAAUCAACAAAUAUGUAGUCCCAAUAUGUAGAUAGGGCCAACAAUCCCAUAGCACGAUCACAUAGCUCAAACUAGGAAGAGCUUAAUAAUAGAAUAGAUAGAAAACUUAAUAAUAGAAUUUAAGAAAAGGGCCAACAAGCCCAAAAUAACUCCAACAUAGUUCAAUUACAACUUAACAUAAAAUACACUAAAAAAAGAUAGAGGGUUUAGAACCCUAGCCGCCGCCUUCUCCACCUUGCUCCUCCUCCGGGCACCCUUUUCACUGCUCCUCCGGGGCGUUGUCGAUGGGGUACGAAAGAGUGUGCAUGUGCGUCGCGGUGGGGAAGAUGUUGUUGUACUCCGUGUGGUUGGUGAAAGCGAUGAACUCGGAGCCACACCAAAACACCCGGCCGAGGAGGUAGAAGGCGUCGAAUGUGUUGGUGAAGUGGGCAAGGAGAGCAACCACCACCCGGUUUUGGAUGACCUCCUCGACGCGGAACAUCGUUGGAGAUCCCCUCGGGAGGUGGUGGUAGCCGGACGCGAGGAAGAACUCGGUGAAGUUCCUUGCGGUCCGCAGCCUUGAUAUCGCCCACAAACGUAGUGAACGUACACGCCGGUAGGGUAGAGCCUCUCCGGCACAGUGGGUGGGAAGCGGUAGGUUGGUCCAGUGUACUGCAUGGCUGAGGGAUGUGCAGAAGACGGAGAAGGGGUCGAAGAGCAAGAAGGGCAGAUGGAUGAGGGAUGGCAGAGGUACAGGGUGGCUUAAAUAGCCGUACUGCUACGUGUUAUUUGGCUGUGGCAAUAACGGGGUCAAAUGUGAAGUAACCCGUCUUCAAACCCACCGCAACAUCGGGAGUGUACACGCGUGGGAAACGGUGGUUUGAAAAAGAAGAAGAAGAAGAAGAAAAAGAAGCUAAUUGCACGUGUGGGAAUCCGUGGUCAUAUAUAUAUAUAUAUAUUAUAUGAACAAAAAGAGACAAUUUUUGAAUAGUUUGUGGCCAUUUUGCAUGAUAAAGAUAAAUUUGGCCCUUAAAAUUGGUCAUUUGCUACGCAAUGUCAAUUGAUUUCAAACGAUGCAAAAAUACAGAGCCAGCACGUUCACAAAAAACAGAGCAAACGAUGCAAAAAACGAUGCAAAAAUACAGAGCCAGCACGUUCACAAAAAAUAGAGCAAACGAUGCAAAAAAAACGACGCAAUUCGACGGCCCAACCAGAGUUUGGUUUCCUUUUGGGCCCAAUAACUUUUUUCACAGAGUCAGUGGUGGGCGAGCAGCCGAGCACAACGAAUAGGAUCGCCUCUCGCGGAUCGCCCCACGAUCCAACGAUGCAGAGCCGUCCUUGUGAUCCAACGACGCGGAGCCUGCACACAGCCAGCCCACCUAGUUCUUUCUAGAAGGCCAGAUCUGAGGGCUGUCGCUUGGCACGCGGACGGCUGACGUUGGGAGCUAGGGUUAGGCGAAAUCCCGCGGGGUUUAGAGGGGUUUUGAGCUGGUCCACGGGGUUUUGAAGGCUUUGACUGAGCAUAACUAAUUUAAAAAAACGAAAAAAAUAUGAAACCUUCGCCGUGCAUCGUUUUAUAAGACACACUGACGAGGAAAAAUACUAAACUUGGUCUAUGGUCAUUUUCAUGAAAAAACCGUAGUUGGCACGAUCAAGGUCAAAUGAGCACCGUUAAUUUAAAAAAAUCAAAAAAAAUAUAAAACAUGCGCACAAUGUUGCCUUAUGUGACAUGUUACCAACCAAAAAUACUAAACUUGGUCUAUGGUCAUUUUCAUGAGAAAACCUUCACAAAUAUGAGCUAUCACCUACAUGAUUUCACAGAGUUCAAGGAGAGGAGGUGGUGUUACCUUUUGUUUUUUGAAAAAUCACUAAACCUUUAUUUUAAAGUGAAUAAGAAGGAUCUGAAGUUAUUUUUCCAUUUUCAUAUUUCAAAACUUGGCCUAUAGUUUUUAUAUUAAUGUUGUCUUAUGUGACAUGUUACCGACCAAAAAUCAUAAACUUGUCCUAUGGUCAUUUUCAUGAGAAAACCUUCACACAUAUGAGCUAUCACCUACAAGAUUUCAAAAAAUAUGAAGAUUAAUUCAAUAGGUGUUAAUAAAAAACAUUUGGCUCAUUUAGAGUAGGUCCAAAAAAACUUUAUUACAAAUGGGUUGUUUACCCUAGCCUGGGAGCUUAUUUGGAGCACAUUUCUCAAAUUCAAAUUUCUUUGACCUCCUCUAAAUCACCUCAAAUUUUGCACACAUGAUCUCCUACACAAACAUAGAUAGUUGAUAAUACAUCUUCAUUAAAAUGUUGUUUUUUGCUCUGUUAUUGGAAUAUUUGAUAAAAGGGAACCCUUGAUAAAAUGAUGGACUGCAGCAUAUGUGUGAUCAUUGCAGCACCUGAACUUUCAAAACACUGAAACAAAUCAUAGCAGAUAAAUUUAAAAACACAAAAAUACCCAACAUAGAUAGCCACAUGCUUAUAAAAUUCAUCCAACCACCAAAAGGUAACCCACAUCCUCUUCACAAACAUAGUUCACCCACAUAGUUCAGCAAACAACCUAAAGUACUUAAAACACAUCAUAACAUCAGGGAAGGGGAGACAGGACUUUGGCUAGGGCAGCAUGCUGCCCCAUGAUCUUGUAGUCCUCGCCAUGGAUGGCCACAUCUUCUGCAUGAUCUAGAAGGUGAACGAAGCGGCUGGACUUUGGCUUUGGCUUGGUGGUGCAGUAGGGGCAGCACCAAGUUUUGGUCUUGCUCUUGUAGUAGUAGUCCAUGCCCUUGAUCCUGAUCUUCUCCUCUUCCUUCUCUUUGAAGGAGGCGAAGUUGCCGCGGUCCACAUCCACAUCUUCCCCAGAUACAUACUGCACACACGAAUGAAUUACAUUAGUACAUUAUAGAUUCAUGGGAAUACACCAUGUCAAACGAACUAAAUGAACAAUCUAAAUUUCAAGUAGGCUUACCUCAUACUCUUCGUCGUCACCAUACGCUGGAUCCUACGGGUCGUCGAAAUUAUAGUCUAUCUUCCUCCUCUUCCCCCUACCAUCAUCCUCCUGAAUAUACAAUUACAUCCAUCACUAGUCCUAUUUGCAUUUUCCAUUGUCAUGCACACACAUUGAACAACAGAGCUAAUAUAACUACAUAUUGUGGACAUAUUGUGAACAACAGAGCUAAUAUAACUUGAAUCAAAUAACUUGAGUAGCAUUAAAAAACCCAAUCUGUGAGCACUAAAAACAAAUCUAAUAAGCAUCAUAGCAUUAAAAACCCCAAUCUGUUCACAACAUCUAGCAUUUUCGCAACGAAUUUAUCCAAAUCUAAAAACCAAUCAUUGCAGCACCUAAAAUCAUAGUUCACAACAUCUAGCUAGCAUUUUUGCAACGAAUUUAUCCAAGAAACCCUAGUCCAAAAACCCCCACCCCCCCAACCCAUACAAAAAACCCCGGCCCAUCCGUCAAACCAACUACUCUAACCAUCUGAACUACUGUAUGAAUCACAAUCGAACUAACUCUACAAGCUAAGCAAGUGCAAAUACCUGCUCCUCCACGGCAGGCGGCGCAACGGGGGCAUCGGGAUGGACUGUGCCGCUCGACGCCAUCACCUUCUGCAGCGAUGAGGCGGAGCCCGCCACAUCCGCAGCGGUUGCGAGUUUCCCCGCACCGCCAUGGACGCCGCCGACAUCCGCGGUCACCGCGCCCUGACCCUGCAGCUCCACCACAUCUCCGGCCGCUGCGCCGGCGUCGCCACGAGCGUCGGCCAUCUGACAGAUGGAGGCGAUGAAGGUGAGGAAGAGGAUGUGGUGGGGCAGAGCAAGACAGUGUGGUGGAGGCAGUGCAGGAGAGCAAGACGACGCCGGUGGGGGAGAGGAAGAUGAUGCGGCAGCGAGGGGAUUUGGGGGAAAAUGGUAGGGGCGAUGGAGGUGGUUGCCCUCUUUACAUGAUGGGACGUUUCGGGCAUGUCCAUGGACACGUGCUACCCCACGACCACGGUCUUGCAUGCGCCCACGUAUACGCGGCCCCACUCGUCAGCUAACGGUCAAAGCAAUUGACCCGACGGCAACGUCCGUUAUAACCAGUUAUGAGGGUUUCGGGCAAGGGAGUGGGGAAAAGUGAGCAAACGUUAACAGAGUGGGGAUGAAUGAGUAGAGCUAAGGAACCAGGGGCACAGAAAUAAAAAUCCCUUCUUAUUAUAUUGCAUCUCUUUUAUUUACAUCGCAUCUCGUUUACUAUUUUGCAAUCUUUACUUUACAAUCUAUACAACAAAAAUACCAAAAAUAUUUACUUUACUAUCUUUAUUAGAUCUCACUUUUGCGAGUGACCAUGAAGGGAUUGACAACCCCUUUAUCGCGUUGGUUGCAACGUUCUUGAUUGUUUGUGCAGGUACUAGGUGACUUGUGUAUUGUCUCCUACUGGAUUGAUACCUUGGUUCUCAAAAACUGAGGAAAAUACUUACGUUACUUUGCUGCAUCACCCUUUCCUUUUCAAGGGAAAACCAACGCAUGCUCAAGAGGUAGCAUGGCCACAAGCAUAGCAAGCAUCAUCAAAAAGGGACAUUUCAAAUGAAUCAACGGGAUCAUAGCAAUUAUCAUAGCAUUCAUCCUUCGGUAAGAGCGAAGGAACAUUAAAAAAUGUAUGAGUUGGAGGGGUACUCUUAUUAGAAGGUGGGCACGGGUGAUCAAUUCGUUCUUCCUUCGCUUAUUCUUCGCUCUCCUCAUCAUCUUUUUCAUCCAAUGAGCUCACAGUUUCAUCAAUUCCUUCUUCCAUAGACUCCUGCAAAAUAUUAGUCUCUUCUUGGAUAGCGAAGACUUUCUCAAUAAACACAUCAAUAUCGUAAUUGCAUUUAUAAUUAUCAUAGCAAUAUUUAAGGAUAGCAAAAAUUUCAGGUCUAUAAACUUAAUCAUCAAAAUCUUCAAACUUUUCAAACAAAGAUUCAAUUUCAUAAGCACCCUUAAAAGCAACAACUUCUUCUAUUCGUUCCACAUCAUAAUAAUCAUAUAUACCAUUAUCAUAAGAAGCCAAGGUUUCAUUAUCAUUAAAUUCACAUGAAAAGGGAAGAUGUGGAGCAUUCAUCCUAGAGCAACAAGUAAAAUCAUAUCUCUGACAUAAAUUCCAAGCAUACCAAUGCAACGAAUAAAUUUGAUCCCAUAAAAGUUUCCCUUUUUGUGUCAACCGAUAAUCCCUAAAGUAUUCACGUUGAUCCAACAUUACUCCCAUUAUCAUGUUGAAUGGGGUUUUCUCAGGAUUAUCAAAGUAGUGCAUAAUAUCUUUUACAUAACGAGCAUCGAGGGUUUUAGGAGGUUACCCAUCUCCAUGAGUAGCAAGUACCACUAAUUUCUUUGGUGUUUCGUGUUCGAUAUCCAUAACUAAAGAUAGAGAACAACUUAGAACAAUAAAUAAAAACUACUUAGUGAUAAAGCAAACAAGCACACACGAGAAUAUUCACCCCACGCUAUUCCUCCCCGGCAACGGCGCCAGAAAAAGGUCUUGAUAACUCACAAGUAUAGGGGAUCGUUUGUAGCCUUCUUCAAUAAAUAAGAGUGUCGAGCCCAACGAGGAGCUAAAGGCAGAACAAACAUUCCCUCAAGUUCUAUCGACCACCGAUACAACUCUAUGCACACUUGACGUUUGCUUUAUCGGAGACAAGUAUGAAACUAUUUUGUAGGUGUGAUGCUAGAACUAAUUUGCAAGAAUAAAAUGAGAAGUACUUGCAAGAUAAUAAAAUUUAGGUGUAUAGUAAAAAGGUUUGUGUCAACAAGAAAGUUAUUUGUCCCUAGGCAAUCAAUAACAAGUACUGGUAAUCAUUCUUGCAACUUUAUAUGAGGGAGAGGCAUGAGCUAACAUACUUUCUCUACUUGGAUCAUAUGCACUUAUGAUUGGAACUCUAGCAAGCAUCCGCAACCACUAAAGAUCAUUAAGGUCGUGAAACCCAACCAUAGCAUUAAGUAUCAAGUCCUCUUUAUUCCCAUACGUCAUACCCCACCUACUCGGGUUUAAGUUUCUGUCACUCUCGCAACCCACCGUAAGUGAACCAUGAACAUAUUGCAACACCCUACAGCGGAGGCCCCUCACGUUUGCGUGAGAACGGAGGGCACGGUAGGACAGCACCAUAAAUAAAUUAUACAAUCAUACCAACCAAGAUCACGAUUAACCCAUAGGACAAAACGGAUCUACUCAAACAUCAUAGGAUAACCAUAGAUCAUUGGGAAAUAAUAUAUGGAGUUGAGCACCAUGUUUAAGUAGAGAUUACAGUGGGGAGAAGAGGUGUUACACCGCUGCAUAGAGGGGGAGAGAGUUGGCGUUGACGGUAGCAAGAUUGUUGAUGUAGAUCGCCGUCCCGAUCGUUGCCCCGGUGGCACUCCGGCGCCACCGGAAGCGAGGGGGAGAGAGCCCCCCUACUCCUCCUUCAUCCUUGGCCUCCCCCUAGAUGGGGAGGAGAGUUCCCCCUAUGGUCCUUGGUCUCCAUGGCCGCGGAGGGGUGGGAGCCCCUCCGAGAUUGGACCUCCCUCUCUGUUCUCUUCUGUUUCGCGUUUUUAGAUCUGGCCGAAAACCGUUUCUUACAUUCCCGGAGAUCCGUAACUCCGAUUGCGCUGAAAUUUUAACAUGAUUUUUCUCCGGAUAUAAGCUUCCUUGCGCCCGAAGUAGAGUCCAACCAACGUACAGGGUGAGCACAACGCACCACCGCACGCCUGGCUCCUCUGGCGCGUCCUGGUGGGUUGUGCCCUCCAAGGGCCUCCGUUUGCGGUGAUUCCAACUCCCAAAAAUCACAUAUAUUCCAAAAUAAUUCUCCGUGAAAUUUUAUUGCAUUUGUACUUCAUUUGAUACGGAUACUCUGCGAUACAAAAAACAUGUAGAAAACAGGAAUUGGCACUGGGCACUAGAUCAAUAGGUUAGUCCAAUAAAUCAUAUAAAAAGUUGCCAAAAUUAUGUAAAAAUUGUAUAAUAUUGGCAUGAAACAAUCAAAAAUUAUAGAUACGACGAAGACGUAUCAGACAUCUAGUGAAUUUUGCCAUGCAAAUUCACCAAAAAAAUUGCCAUGGUAAGAAAAGUUUGACAUCGUCUUGAAAGAAGGAAGUUGCCAUGGCAAGAAAAGUUUGACAUCGGCUUGGAAAAAGGAACUUGCCAUGGGCAUGUAAGUGAAUUUGCCGUGGAACAUCUACUGAUGAAGUUUGAAAUCGUCUUGAAAAAAGAAGUUGCCAUGGCAAGAAAAAGUUUGACAUCGGCUUGAAAAAAGAAACUUGCCAUGGGCAUGUAAGUGAAUUNNNNNNNNNNNNNNNNNNNNNNNNNNNNNNNNNNNNNNNNNNNNNNNNNNNNNNNNNNNNNNNNNNNNNNNNNNNNNNNNNNNNNNNNNNNNNNNNNNNNNNNNNNNNNNNNNNNNNNNNNNNNNNNNNNNNNNNNNNNNNNNNNNNNNNNNNNNNNNNNNNNNNNNNNNNNNNNNNNNNNNNNNNNNNNNNNNNNNNNNNNNNNNNNNNNNNNNNCUUGAAAAGAGAAACUUGCCAUGGCAAGAAAAGUUUGACAUCGGCUUGAAAAAAACAAACUUGCCAUGGGCAUGUUAGUGAAUUUGUCGUGAGACAUCUAGUAAAUUUUGCCAUGCAAAUUCACAAAAAAAAUUGCCAUGGGCAUGUUAGUGAAUUUGUCGUGAGACAUCUAGUAAAUUUUGCCAUGCAAAUUCACAAAAAAAAAUUGCCAUGGUAAGAAAAGUUUGACAUCGUCUUGAAACAAGAAAGUUGCCAUGGCAAGAAAAGUUUGACAUCAGCUUGAAAAAAGAAACUUGCCAUGGGGAUGUAAGUGAAUUUGCCGUGGAACAUCUAGUGAUGAAGUUUGAAAUCGUCUUGAAAAAAGAAGUUGCGAUGGCAAGAAAAAGUUUGACAUCGGCUUGAAAAGAAAAACUUGCCAUGGCAAGAAAAGUUUGGCAUCGGCUUGAAAAAACAAACUUGCCAUGGGCAUGUUUGUGAAUUUGUCGUGGGAGGUCUAGUGAAUUUGCCAUGGCGAAUUCACUGAAAAAAAAUUGCCAUGGUAAGAAAAGUUUGACAUUGUCCUGUAAAAUUGCCAUGAUGAUCUACUAAAAAUUCGCCAUUGUCUUGGAAAUUAAAGUAAAUUUGACAUGCAAAUACUCCCUCCUUCCAUCUAUAUAGGUCCAAAUGCGUUUUUCGAGGCUAACUUUGACCAAGUGUUAGAGCAAUAAUAUAUGACAUGCAAGUUACACAAAGCAUACCGUCAAAUUCGUACGUGAAAGGAGCUUCCAAUGGUAUAAUUUUCACAUUAUACAUCUCAUGUAUUAUUAAUCUUAUCAAUAGUCAAAAGCGGUCUUGAAAAACACAUUAGACCCUAUAUAGAUGGAAAGAGGGAGUACAUGAAACUAUAAUUUACCAUGGUGUAUAAACUAAAUUUGUAGUUGUCAAUUACUAAAUUUACCAUGAUCAAAAUGAAAAUAAAAUUGCCAUGCUUAAUUAACGAGAAAAUAACAUUUGCCAUGAUUUGUUAACUAAAUUUGCCUUGGUUAAAAUACUAAAAUAACCAUGAUCAAUGAAAUAAAUUUGCCAAGGUUAAUAAAAAUGAAAUUUACCAACUUUAUCAGUAGUAGCGUCGAUUUACAAAGGAACAAAGUGCGAACAAAAUUACUUAGAUGAGUUUCAGAGUCAUGCAUAGCCAUCAAUUAUACCAUGAACCCACACAAACAUUAGUUGACGAAACAUAUUGCAUCUAGAAUCCUGCGACACUAGCAAUAACAAAUGAAAAAUCUUCUGUUGGUACCUGUCGCAGUCUAUGGUGCCCUUGGCAUUGAACCUGACCCCCAGCGCAAGAUCCUGCUACCAACCAAGCCCAUCAGACCCCAGCGCAAGAUACUGCUCACCGCAUAUCAGACCCCCGCACACGAGAGCAGCAGACCAGCCGGCCGCGCACAAGCUGCUCGACGAAUUGCACCCAGGAGAGGAGGGCGGGCCUGGUAGAGGCGGGCGAAGAUGGUAUCCUGGUGGAGGAGGCGACACUCGGUCGAUUGGGUGCACGACACGGCCGUCUCGAGCUCCCUGGUGGCGCAACGACUUGCUUGCACAGAAGAUGAUGCAAGACUGCGCGCGCAGUGCGCCUCCACGCGCUCGAGCCAGGCGCCGCGUGCUCGGCUCCCUCGUCGUCGCCACCGCCGCCGCCGACCUUGAGGAGGAUCAUUGGAGAGUGAGAGGGGGACGGGGUAUGGCAAAGGUUGCUGGCCACCAGCGUCCAUGGCCUCCACCCGCAAAAAUCCGGAGCUCCCUCAUCGAUGGACGGAGGCGGGGAACGGCAGGGCAAGUGGAAGCGGGCUGCGGGGGCCGCCGGAACUGGCCAUAGAGGGUGUGGCGGGCCUGGCCACAGUUGAGCUCGAGCUCGAGGUGAGCCCGCGAGAUCCCAUGGAGGGAGAUUCACUCUUCGCCGACGAGAGGACGCCGCCGGGGAGGACUCCAUCGCGCCCCCCCCCCCCUCCCCCCCACAUCNNNNNNNNNNNNNNNNNNNNNNNNNNNNNNNNNNNNNNNNNNNNNNNNNNNNNNNNNNNNNNNNNNNNNNNNNNNNNNNNNNNNNNNNNNNNNNNNNNNNNNNNNNNNNNNNNNNNNNNNNNNNNNNNNNNNNNNNNNNNNNNNNNNNNNNNNNNNNNNNNNNNNNNNNNNNNNNNNNNNNNNNNNNNNNNNNNNNNNNNNNNNNNNNNNNNNNNNNNNNNNNNNNNNNNNNNNNNGCAGCGCACGCACGAGCCGCUGGGAUGACGUGGCCAGCCGGGAGCGUCAAGAUGUGUGUGUUUCGAUCCAAUGGCAAUGAGCACCUUCGGAACGAGAAGCUAAAACGUGGCACUUUCGGGAUUUAUUGAUUCCGUUCUGAAUUGCCAGCCUCAUAUAAACCUAUGUGAAACUCUCUGUACAUACUCAGGAGCGAUCUUCUACAGCCGUUGGAUGCACCCAUCAGAGGGGUUCCUGGCCGUUAAUCACGCUCUAGCUCAGAGGUGAGAAUGCCAUCAACCAGACUGAAGUGCUUGCCUCCUUAUCGGUAAAGGAUGCAGCGGUACCAGCCUAUAGAACAGAUCUUGUUCAUGUAAGAGCAACUCCAAUGGGAAUACCCAUUUCGUCCACCGCCGUCCGUUUGGGCUAGCGCGGACAAGAACGACGGCCCAAUGCAGAAACCCAUUUUUAUUUUGUGUCCGCACGGACCCAUUUCCGCCUCAAAUUUGAGACACAUUUGGUCUGAAGCGGACACAAAGCGGACGCUUUCUGCGUCUCUCUCGUCCGCCUCCGCCCGAUGCCGGUCCUGCGUGCCCCACCUGCCAUCCACUCACAUAAUAUUUUUUCUCUCUCCCCUCUCUCUCGCGCUAGCCAUGACACAGGUGCUGCCACGCCGCCGCGCUCGCCCUGCUCGGACGCCGCCGUGCUGCCACGCUCGCCCUGCCGGGGGCAAUACAAGCAUCCACGCGAGCUAGCUAGCUUAGUUGCAUGGAUGCCGGCCUUUGCAUGGCGCCCCAUCCUAGCUAUCUAGCUAGCUUCGAUGCAUUGUCGACGCCGGCUCGUGGCGGCGCUCGAGCCACUCGCAUGCCAUUCUGCACUUCCGCCAUGGCUCGGAAGCUCGCUUGCAUGCCUCGGCCACGUCGCCGCUCGCGUCUGACCCGGCCUCGCCUUGCCACGCAGCCUCACGAGCUUGCCAUGGCCUCGUCCCGCCACGCAGAGCGGCCGCCUCUGUCGCUCACGCGCUCGUUCCGGCCUCACCCCACACGCAGCAGGAGCAACAGCUCGCGUGCCCGACCCGGCCUCGCCCCGCCCCGCAGCAGGACGAGCUCGCCAUGGCUCGGGAGCGAACGCGCCCGGCAUGGCCGCGCCCCACCACGCAGUAGGAGCUCGCACGCCCGGCACGGCCGCGCCCCGCCGCGCAGCAGGAGCGCGCAGGCCGGGGCAGAGCAGCGGCGAGCUGCGGCGCGGAGGGGCCUAGCUAGCGCGGCGGCCACGAGCUGUGGUGGGCGGGGCGCGAUCUGUGGCGGGCGGAGCGAGCUAGCGAGGCGGCUGCGGCCGUCGCUGGGCCGGGACGAGCCGCGGCGGGCACGGCGAGUGUCGGGCCCGGGGCCAGGGUGAGCGGGCGCCGGGGAUACGCAGGGCGCAUGAGAGCUGCAGCACGGGAGCCGGGCGGGGCGACGCGGGAGCUCGUUCAUCAGGUGUUCGACUAAAUCCUGACGCGGACAUGCACAAAAUGCGUCUGCCCUACGUUGGGCGUAUAGACAGACCGACCUAAACGAAAAAACGGACACGGAUGGGCCACCCAAACAGACAAAAAAGACAAAAACGAUGUCCAUUUGGAUCGACCCAUUCUAAACUGGUUUUGGCGUCGCCUGAACCAGCGAGAUGGGACUAAUCGCAGCGGCAUGCAGCAGCGCUGCGCUUCCUCUGUCAGCUUUGGAAUGAGGGGCACGGCCCGUGACCCGUGUAUGUGCGCACAUUGCUCAAAGAAAAAGUAGCUCAGCCCAUCUGAAAAAUAUUUGCCUCUCGCGCUUUCCACUCGUUCUCUGUUCCUUCCUGUCGCAAUCAAACGUGGAAGUACUUCUUUGUUAAACAACCAGUGGUACUUCAAAACUGGCCCAAGUGAAGGUGGUUUGGAGAAAUUGAUACCUCCAGCCACUUGUUUUUAUCUCCAUUAUGAACUGUUUUUUUCUAGACAACUUUAUCAUUACUCGAUCAAUUCCUUUCUACAGAACUUUAUCAUUACUCGAUCAAUUCCAUUUUUAAAAAUGCUAGUAGAUCAAAAUAGGAUGCAGCAACAACCAGAAACUAUUCACAACUGAAAGAGGCCACAAAAUAAAUUUAGCUGAGCUUGAUUUUCCAACAGAAGCGAGUACGGCUGAAAGAGGCAAACACAGAGGUAUAGAUAAAACUGCAUCAUCUAUUCUUCACAUAAAGUUCCGAUGCGAAUCCAUCCGGCUAUAUAAUAACAAAACGAAAAAACAUCAGAAGGAAGUAACAGCAGCAGCAAAGAGAGUUCUCUACAACUCGGCCAACAGACUAAUAACAGCAAGUCUCCGGUGUCUGCGAAUAAACCCGACCACCCCCAACCCCAACACAAAGUAAGUAGCACCAAUUAUCCAUGUCUCCUCUCCCUACUAACCCAUUACAAAAAUUGGUUCCCCUUUAAACCCAUCUAC